rnacentral:rRNA from 1 species
GACGAACGCUGGCGGCGUGCUUAACACAUGCAAGUCGAGCGGUAAGGCCCUUUCGGGGGUACACGAGCGGCGAACGGGUGAGUAACACGUGGGUGACCUGCCCUCAGCUCUGGGAUAAGCCUGGGAAACCGGGUCUAAUACUGGAUAUGACUCCAUGACGCAUGUUGUGGGGUGGAAAGCCUUGUGCGGCUGAGGAUGGGCCCGCGGCCUAUCAGCUUGUUGGUGGGGUGAUGGCCUACCAAGGCGACGACGGGUAGCCGGCCUGAGAGGGCGCCGGCCACACUGGGACUGAGACACGGCCCAGACUCCUACGGGAGGCAGCAGUGGGGAAUCUUGCGCAAUGGGCGAAAGCCUGACGCAGCGACGCCGCGUGAGGGAUGACGG